CAGUAGCCACGGUAAUACGGAGGGUGCAAGCGUUAUCCGGAUUCACUGGGUUUAAAGGGUGCGUAGGCGGAUCUGUAAGUCAGUGGUGAAAUCUCCAGGCUUAACCUGGAAACUGCCGUUGAUACUAUAGGUCUUGAAUUUUGUGGAGGUUAGCGGAAUAUGUCAUGUAGCGGUGAAAUGCAUAGAUAUGACAUAGAACACCAAUUGCGAGGGCAGCUGGCUACACAACUAUUGACGCUGAGGCACGAAAGCGUGGGGAUCAAACAGGAUUAGAUACCCCCGUAGUCCCUGUCUCUUAUAU
rnacentral:rRNA from 1 species